rnacentral:RNase_P_RNA from 1 species
CGAGCAGGCUGAACAGCUGCGGGCGCCAGGCGAAAGCAGGCGUCUGAGGAAAGUCCGAGCUCCACAGGGCAGGGAUAACGGCUAACGGCCGCCGGGGGUGACCCCAGGGAAAGUGCAACAGAGAUAUACCGCAUACCUUUUGGUGUGUAAGGGUGGAAAGGCGAGGUAAGAGCUCACCAGCGUGCGGGGAACCGCACGGCUCUGCAAACCCUAUCCGGAGCAACACCGCAGAGGGACAGUAUGCGCCGGCCCGGCGCGUCCCGUGGAGGUGGCAACGAGCCGCGGCGGUAACGCCCGGCCAAGAUAGAUGGCUGUUCACGACAGAACUCGGCUUACAGGCCUGGUCGCAUC